rnacentral:rRNA from 1 species
ACGUAGGGUGCGAGCGUUAAUCGGAAUUACUGGGCGUAAAGCGUGCGCAGGCGGCUCUUUAAGUCAGAUGUGAAAGCCCCGGGCUUAACCUGGGAACUGCGUUUGAAACUGGAGGGCUGGAGUGUGGCAGAGGGAGGUGGAAUUCCACGUGUAGCAGUGAAAUGCGUAGAGAUGUGGAGGAACACCAAUGGCGAAGGCAGCCUCCUGGGCCAACACUGACGCUCAUGCACGAAAGCGUGGGGAGCAAACAGGAUUAGAUACCCUGGUAGUCCACGCCCUAAACGAUGUCAACUGGUUGUUGGGGAAGGAAACUUCCUUAGUAACGAAGCUAACGCGUGAAGUUGACCGCCUGGGGAGUACGGCCGCAAGGUUA